AUUGAACGCUGGCGGCAGGCCUAACACAUGCAAGUCGAGCGGAUGAAGGGAGCUUGCUCCUGGAUUCAGCGGCGGACGGGUGAGUAAUGCCUAGGAAUCUGCCUGGUAGUGGUGGAUAACGUCCGCAAACGGGCGCUACUACUGCAUACGUCCUGCGGGAGCAAGUGGGGGAUCUUCGGACCUCACGCUAUCAGAUGAGCCUAGGUCGGAUUAGCUAGCUGGUGGGGUAAAGGCCUACCAAGGCGACGAUCCGUAACUGGUCUGAGAGGAUGAUCAGUCACACUGGAACUGAGACACGGUCCAGACUACUAAGGGAGGCAGCAGUGGGGAAUAGUGGACAAUGGGCGAAAGCCUGAUCCAGCCAGGCCGCGUGUGUGAAGAAGGUCUUCGGAUUGUAAAGCACUUUAAGUUGGGAGGAAGGGCAGUAAGUUAAUACCUUGCUGUUUUGACGUUACCAACAGAAUAAGCACCGGCUAACUUCGUG
rnacentral:rRNA from 1 species